CCUACGGGUGGCAGCAGUGAGGAAUAUUGGUCAAUGGACGGAAGUCUGAACCAGCCAAGCCGCGUGAAGGAUGACUGCCCUAUGGGUUGUAAACUUCUUUUAUAUGGGAGUAAACUGUACUACGUGUGUUCUUUUGUAUGUACUAUAUGAAUAAGGAUCGGCUAACUCCGUGCCAGCAGCCGCGGUAAUACGGAGGAUCCGAGCGUUAUCCGGAUUUAUUGGGUUUAAAGGGAGCGUAGGUGGAUUGAUAAGUUAGUUGUGAAAGGUUGGGGCUUAACUGUGGAACUGCAGUUGAUACUGGUGGUCUAGAGAGUAGGUGAGGUAGGCGGAAUGUAUGGUGUAGCGGUGAAAUGCUUAGAGAGCAGAAAGAACACCGAUUGCGAAGGCAGCUUACCAAUCUAUAACUGACGUUGAGGCACGAAAGCGUGGGGAGCAAACAGGAUUAGAUACCCGAGUAGUC
rnacentral:rRNA from 1 species